rnacentral:lncRNA from 1 species
UUAUAAUAGGUAACUCGUAGAAAAGCCUUUGCAAAGAGGGAUGAGUGCGCAUAAAUCUUUUUUCAACUUUAAGAACAAGCGCUGAAAUAGUAUCGACAUAACUAUGGGUUCUUUUCAGAAUAGGAAUAUCAUUCAAACCAAAGUCCGCAUACAAAUAAAGAAUUCCUCAAUAAUGUUUUAUGCUCUAAUAUCACAUUUUCCCGCAACAACAAAAAUUGUAUCUAUAUUUGUGGGAAUUUCCUCUUUAGGGGUUUUGUCAUCCUCACUUCUCGCAAUGACAAACUCAGACAUGAUAACAACUUCAAAUAAGCAAAUCAUGU